CGUGUAGGCGGCCAGGUAGGUCUGCUGUGGAAACUCGAGGCUUAACCUCGAGAUGUCGGCAGAAACCAUCUGGCUAGAGUCCGGAAGAGGAGAAUGGAAUUCCCGGUGUAGCGGUGAAAUGCGCAGAUAUCGGGAAGAACACCCGUGGCGAAGGCGGUUCUCUGGGACGGUACUGACGCUGAGACGCGAAAGCGUGGGGAGCGAACA
rnacentral:rRNA from 1 species